rnacentral:tRNA from 1 species
GGCAAGAUGGCCGAGUUGGUUAUGGCGCCAGGUUAAGGUCCUGGUGGAGCAAUCCCCCUGGGUUCGAGUCCCAGUCUUGUCA